GCAAGAGAGAGAGCAGCACAGUCAGAGUCAGAGACAAAGAGUGUUAGAAAUACAGGAAAAGCACAGUGUGUUAAGUUUUCAUUCAUACUGCAGUGGACACCUCAUGUCAACAAUUGCUAAGGAUGCAGCUCAAGUUGAUGGGAUGAUGACAUUUCCUGAUCUCUUGGAUGUGUUUACAAGUUUGCCAAGACCCGAGGGUGGAAUUCACACUGCCAUAUACCCUGCUCACCGAAUACCCUGAAGCAAAGAAAUAUAUUUCAUUACACAGUUACAAAUGGAAGUCACCCCAAAAGAAACAUGUUGCUCUCUCAUGCAAUGUAUCAUCAACAAGAACCUGGAGGAGCUCAAGAAUUUACUAAAGGACAACAACAUAAAUGAAGUUUACCCAUGCAGAGAGUGGAAUGACUAUAUAACCCCACUGAUCGCUGCUGUUGUCAAUCACAAUGAGGAAAUUUGUAUUCUCCUACUGCAAAAAGGUGCAGACCCAAACAAGGCAUCGCAAAAUGGCUUGACACCUUUGCAUUAUGUCUCACUAUCAAAAGCACCCCUUGCUUUUGUGGAGAAACUGCUUGAAGCAAAAGCUAAUCCAAAUGGAUGUGAUCUCAUCCAACGAAAUUCUCUGACACCACUGCAAACUGCUGCCAUCAGUGACAGGGAUGAUGUCAUGAAAGUGCUCAUAUCUGCUGGUGCUCUGGUAACCAUUUUACCUGUUACUGAUCUUGAACAUAUUACUCACAAUCAAAAAAUGUCUCAGAUGGUUCACCUUGCAUUGAAUGAAGAUGAAUUAUGCUCCAACCUUGGACAUUUUCUGGAUAUGGAAAUUGCUGUGCGAGGGGGACCACCUGAGGAUGUGUUCAAAACGUUUCACAGUCACAUGCUGCUGGAGGAUCCUCAGACCCAUCUGACAAUGAUUGAAAUGCUUUUUAAUGUAAAUGUGUCAGAUGCAGAAAAAUACCGCCAGGGAAGUAUCAAAUGGCUGAAGGACACUGGAAACCUGAACUCCUACAUUGCAGGCGCUAUCAGCCGCUUUCCAAACAUUCAUCAAGAACAUGUACAUUGGGCAGUUAUUACUUUACAUGCAGUUUUCCACACAGUGGAAGACAUACCAAAUGAGCAAGCAUUAGAUGUAGUUAUCCAACUAUUGAAACAGCUUGGCUCAAAAGAGGGACCUUAUGUGAAGUUAUAUGAAGUUAUUCUGCCAACACUACAUGUGAUAACACAGAAAACAAAAGGCACAGAUGGCUGGGAUCCCAACUUCAUUAAGAAUUUAUGCCACACAGUUGCUGAUUUUGUCUCUACAGACACAAAUGCUAUUACAGCGUCCAUUUAUGGCAUAUUUCUAAACUUACUUUCAGUUAAUGCGGUUGACAUCUUACAUAUGAGUAGUCAGAAAGAUGUGAGCGAGGUGCGCAGACGUUUGAAAGAACAUUUCAGCAAACAAACCUUGGAAUGUGAAGAUGGUACAGCCUUUACAGGAUCUGAGAACACAACUGGCAAGCAAGGAAGUCCAAACGACCCAGUGGCUGCUCCUGUUGUACAAUCUACUCAAACUGUGUCAGACCAAUCAAACCUAGGACAUCAAAAGCAACCACAGAGAUGGUUUCCAAUCAGCAAGAGGUGGAGAGGACAACUAGGAAAGCUUCUGAGUACCGAUGAAAGCAAAGUCACCAGAGUUGGGAGCAUGAGUUACGUGAAUGAUGCAGAGUUCCGCAUAGCGAAGGGAAGUGAUGGCACUGAAGUUUUCUUGGGGCUGAGAGAUGACGGCACUGAAGUUGCUAUUAAGAGAAUGUCCAAAUGCAACUAUCAGGAGCUGAAGAAUGAGGAAGGAUUCCUGCGACUUCCAGAGCUGGAUCAUACAUCUAUUGUACAAUACAUUGACUUUGCAGAGGAUGAGAACUUUGGAUAUCUUGGUCUUCAACUGUGUGAAUACACCCUGGAAGAGUACAUUGAAUUGCCUUGGGGGGAAGUUUGUCCGUUUCUGAAGAAUCUGGUGUAUGAGGUCCUUGACAGUUUAAAGGUGCUUCACUGUCUAAAUCCUCCAAUUCUCCACCGGGAUCUCAAACCACAGAAUGUCUUGAUCGAUGUUAAAGGAAGGGCAAGAUUAGCUGAUUUUGGCAUAAGCAGACAGUUACUCAUGGGACAAACAACUCUACGCACAAGCAGUGUAGGAACAAAAUGCUGGAUGGCCAAGGAGACUUUAGAAGGAAGACCUGACACACCAUACAAGUGGAGCACUGACAUACAGGUGGCAGGGAUGCUGGUUUAUUAUAUCCUCUCUGGAGGACACCAUCCUUUUGGUGACAACUUUAAAUGUGAGUGCAACAUUCAUGAAGGGAACUACACUUUAGACCAUGUGCAAGAUGUGGUGGCAAAGGAUCUCAUCGAGUGGAUGAUCAAUAAAGAACCACAAAGCCGACCUAAGGUGGAAGAAUGCUUGAGUCACCCCUUCUUCUGGACCAAUGACAGGAAAAUUGAAUACUUGAGAACUAUUGGAAACAAGAAGGAGGUUAAAAUGUAUGAAAAUGCUGACCAGAAACUGAUCUCUCCAUUGGAAGAAUGUGCUAAAGCUGGAUCCUUCCAACAGUGGAAAGAUAAGUUUCCCCAACUGUUGGUCCAGAAGAUGGAUGGAAAGAAGAAACCCUACCCUGAAAACACACUGGGAUUACUGCGCUUCAUACGCAACCUCCAUGAGCACUAUGAGGAAGAUGCAGCCCAAGUUGAUGUGAUGAAGAUAUUUCCUGAUCUCUUUGGAUGUGUUUACAAGUUUGCCAAGACCCGAGGGUGGAAUUCAGAGACACCCUUAAAGCAAAUGUUUCAAAGAAAAGACAUCACCACCAGCUUCACAAAGCUGUCCAUAAGUCCUGAGGAACAUCUGACUGUCCCAGUUCAAGAGUCUCUCCCCAGUGACUUGAAGUUAAGUUGAAAUCCAAAAAGAUCAAGAACUUCAAAAUGACUUUAGAGUCUUAUUAACAGUCAAAGGUUUGUAUUAACAACAAGCAGUUCUGAUGUCAUAUGGUCCUUUUUGUCAGUUAUAGUGUAUCGCCCAUAUGUCAAGGUUUUAGCAGCACAGGGCAACAAGACUACACAAAAAAAAACAAGUGUCAUGGGUCUUUUUCACACUUGACAUUAUCAGACUCAUUAAAGGAAACGCACAGUUGUAAUAAAUAACAUUAACAAAGGCUACCCUCUGUUGAAGUGUCCCAGUAAGCCAUGCCAAUGUGACCAACACCAGGACCCUGAAACUGAAGCAGCUGAAUGGAACUCAGCCAUCAUUCAUUGUAUUAUUUACACCUGUGCUUUUUCUUCUGUGACGUGUCAAAAUGUCUUUUGUGAAAUAAGCCUGUAAGGUUUUGCAUAUCUAUUGUACAUAAUAACUAUUUUCCAAAGGUUAUAAGAUACUGUGCAGUCGUUUAGUUUUAAGGGACUUUCUUUUUACUUUUGACUUAUUUUGAGGAAUUGUUCUUGACCAUUAAUAUCAUUAUUAUCAAUAUUAUUAUGUUUGACUUUUUUUGUUUAGAUUUUACUGCUGAUAUAUGUUACCACUGUAGUUAUGUUUAACAUUUUACAGUUUAAUGUUCUUUUAUUCUUGCAGAUUUCCAUGAUAUUGCUACAUUAUAUGGGGGUGGAAGAAAAGGAAAUUUAAUGAAUUACAGCAUCAUAUUUUAUUUUGAUUUCUUUCACAAAUAACUGCUGGGACAGAUAGUGUUUUGUGUCAUUUUAGUUUCUUGAGAUGUUCUUGACUGUCCCAUUGGCCUUGUCUCAUUGCCUUUCUGUCAUGGCCUCUUAGAAGUGCCAUUGUUUCAGAAAGAUUGUAAAAGGAACAAUGUUGAAUGACAAGCUAAAAAAUGUGUGUAAAACAAGGGUUGCAAUUCCACUCCCUGUUUAUCAAACAAAUCUGAACAGAUCUUUGCACUUACUUCAAUUAAAGAUGCAAAAUGGUAAUGGAAUAUACAAGCUUGACAGCAUGCAGAUUCUUGUGUAUGAUUUUGCUUUAAGCAUACUGAAUGUUACUCUCAAAGUAUACUGUAAAUCUAAUCAUAAGUAUCAAAAUAAAUGUGUAAAGGUAUGAUUGUAGCAAGUGUUUUAUCAUUCAUUGAUCAUUAUGAUAUAGUGGG